rnacentral:lncRNA from 1 species
ACAAGUCGUCGCCGGCACCACACAACGCUGCUUCAAGGACCUCUCUAGCACCACACGGAUGGGGAAGAAGACUGCAGCAAAGAGACCCCGAGGACGCACCAGUGGUACAGUCUUCUUAACCCAUCCCACGCAUGCCUACUUCUUAUUCAUGCGUAUGUAUGUCGAAUGGAUGUGUGGUAAAAGCAUUUUGCUUGUGCUUGAUUUCAAUUGCUAGUGUUUCUUGUUCAUUAGAGUUAUGGUUGUAUCUACGAAAUAAGGGUCUUGUGCUGGCAAGUGUAGAUUUGGGUCACAUAUUGUUGCAAAUUUAACUACAAGAAUAGUAAUUUUUUAUUAUGUACAGAUUAUACACAUAGUAAUUAAUAUUCAUGUCUUUACUUAGAACCACCGGUGAAUCCUUUGGAAGAGUUGCGCAUCAAAACAUGCAUAAGGAACAAUUCAAUGUUACAAGCACUCGGAAUUCCUGCACUAUCAACAUUGUUUGCAGCUAAUACUGUCAUUUCACCUGAAAAAACACUCAAGCAUAGUAGAGAUGAUUCUGAAGCUGAGUACCAUCCUAAUGAGGACAAUACGAGUGAAGGAGAGUCAUCUGAUGAUAGUUUAGUAGAUGAAAUAGAAGGUCUGCAGUCCACACCUGCUGCUAGCUCAAACUCUAAGGUGCUAAUUUCCUAUCUAGUCAUUCAUUUAUUAUAUAUGUUGCUUGUUUGCCAUUACAACAAAAAUUUAUUACAAUUUGUUGAUUGAACCAUGUUUUCAUAUCUAUCAGGGCUAUAAGAAGACUAGUCAGAAAACUAGUAAGAAAAGAUCUCCUGCCAUGCCUCCUGGUGGAGUCAAGCCUCGACCUCGUAAGGGAGUUCAUGCGGACCUCCCAACUAAUUCACGAGUCACAAGGUCGAAGAAAGCUAUAUUACAAGAUGUUGAAG